UACGGAGGGGCUAGCGUUGUUCGGAAUUACUGGGCGUAAAGCGCGCGUAGGCGGACCUGCAAGUCGGGGGUGAAAGCCCGAGGCUCAACCUCGGAACUGCCUUCGAUACUGCGGGUCUCGAGUCCGGGAGAGGUGAGUGGAAUUCCUAGUGUAGAGGUGAAAUUCGUAGAUAUUAGGAAGAACACCAGUGGCGAAGGCGGCUCCACUGGCCCGGUACUGACGCUGAGGCGCGAAAGGCGUGGGGAGCGAAACAGG
rnacentral:rRNA from 1 species